UACAGAGGGGGCAAGCGUUGUUCGGAAUUACUGGGCGUAAAGGGCGCGUAGGCGGCCUGCUAAGUCGAACGUGAAAUCCCCGGGCUCAACCCGGGAACUGCGUCCGAUACUGGCAGGCUUGAAUCCGGGAGAGGGAUGCGGAAUUCCAGGUGUAGCGGUGAAAUGCGUAGAUAUCUGGAGGAACACCAAUGGCGAAGGCAGCUUGCUGGGACGGUACUGACGCUGAGACGCGAAAGCGUGGGGAGCAAACAGG
rnacentral:rRNA from 1 species